rfam:Aspergillus flavus AF70 190, whole genome shotgun sequence.
UUUCUCAUCUAUAUAUCGCCGAUACGUUUGAAUUUUUGGCAACUUCCGUCCAUAUCCAUGACGAAGUUGUUCGUUCGCAUCGAGUGAAGAGUAACCUGACCCGUUGCUGGGCACCUGGAUUUGAAAGGUCGUUCCGAUCCUUUCGGAUAAUUUGGGAAUCAGCUGUGGUCACAUCA